UCCUACGGGGGGCAGCAGUGAGGAAUAUUGGUCAAUGGGCGAGAGCCUGAACCAGCCAAGUCGCGUGAAGGAUGACGGCCCUAUGGGUUGUAAACUUCUUUUGUCAGGGAGCAAUUGAGUCCACGUGUGGGCUUAGCGAGAGUACCCGAAGAAAAAGCAUCGGCUAACUCCGUGCCAGCAGCCGCGGUAAUACGGAGGAUGCGAGCGUUAUCCGGAUUUAUUGGGUUUAAAGGGUGCGCAGGCGGAUUUUUAAGUCAGCGGUCAAAUCGUGGGGCUCAACCCCAUCCAGCCGUUGAAACUGGGGA
rnacentral:rRNA from 1 species